CGUCGAUCUAUGGCUUGUUUAAAACCGUAAUAAACGAAGAAAGACGUGAUUUGAGAAUGAAAUGUAAGUUGAAAUUAACUUUAUAUGCCUCAAAUUUUCCAUCCUAUGUUUCUUAAUGUAACUUCAGCUGUCUAAGUUCAAAAUACAAGCUCGCGAAAUUUGAGGAAUUUUGAAAAUAUGUAAAAAUAGCUUGACUUUGAACUGUAUUUUCUCAAAAAUAGCCCGUGGCCUCAAUUUCAAAUAUAGCUAAAUGAAAAGAAAAAAAAUUUCGGCGUUUGUAGGUAUCAAACAU